CUUACACCGUGAAACGAGUCGAAUAGGGCGAAACAAAUUACUGCUACCAGACCAUUACCAUGCCAUUACAAUUCAGAUUUUCUUAUAACAUAGGUAUCAUUGCGCGUGAAACAUAGGAUCUUUUCUGAAUCUCGCAAUUUUGGUGGUGCACCCUGAAACAGCAUGUUUGCUGUUAUGGAUGUCUUUUCUGUUUAGAAGGCAACCCAGCUAAGAGAUUAUAGAGUUUCAGAGACAUGAAGUGUGUGAAGUGAAUAACCUGCCAUUUGUAUGCACAUGUACCAGAUCUGCUUGAUGAAAGUCAGAUGCGUUACUAAAUUCAUCACCCAUAUGAUAAAGCAUCAGAAAAUUUAUCUCAACAUGUGGAAUAAUGUCGGUUUCUGUGAAUUCCAUUUUACGGUUUUUUCAUCAUGAACAUUUCAGUGUGCUUCUUAGAAAAGAGCACGCAAGAUCACCACGGACAUCCUUGAGCUAAUGCUGGAUUUUGUCCAUGACAGAAGAGGGAGUUCCAUCAUGCUCCAUCCUUAUCUUCAAGACGUACGCUCAUCCAGCUUCACUGCUUCAGUGCUUCUUAUGCUGCAAAACAACUUUUCUUGCUUCAUUGGCGAGUUGAAUCACUUCAGUUGCUGUGACACACCUGCAAUCACUCACCACGGGAUUACGGCCAGGUAAUGCAGAGGAAACGUCGAGAAGAUCUCGUCGCC